UACGGAGGGGGCUUGCGUUGUUCGGAAUUACUGGACGUAAAGAGCGCGUAGGCGGGCUGUUAAGUCGGGGUUGAAAUCCCGGGGCUCAACCCCGGAACUGCCUUCGAUACUGGCAGCCUAGAGGAAGGCAGAGGCUAGUGGAAUGGCGAGUGUAGAGGUGAAAUUCGUAGAUAUUCGCCGGAACACCAGUGGCGAAGGCGACUGGCUGGGCCUUUUCUGACGCCUAGCCGCGACACCGUGGGGAGCACACAGG
rnacentral:rRNA from 1 species